ACAACACCGGUUCUCAGCCGAUCACCGAAGUUAAGCAAUGCCGAUCCCAGUCAGUACUUAAAUGGGUGACCGUUGGGGAAUAAUCAGGCGCUGUAA